AUUUGACAGUCGAUUUGCUGACAGGGGAGGAAUUUGCAUCCUGGAUUAAAAAAAAAAAAAAAAAAAGGCCGAGAGGAGCUUGGGAACGGUUGCUAGGGGUGGGUAAUGGGUGAAAAAAGGGGGGCGCCGGGGAGCGGAUAAGGAGGGUUAAGGGAGGGGGCGAGGGUGGGGAGCAAUGCAAAAGGUAAGGCCAGGUUACCGCGGCUCGGCCCCGAGUGGGCUGCGGCCGGGGGAGGGGCGAGAGAUACAUAUGUAUUUCUGUCUCCCUAGCACACCCCCUUCCCUCUAAGCGAUGGCUGAGAGGCGGUGCAUGCAGAUGGGGAGUAAGUUUCCUGAAGGGGAGGGUGGAUGCACGCGCGCGGCCCCGCGCUGCAAAUUUCCACCGGGGAGGGAGAGUGGCUGGAUGCAGAGAGUUUGGAGUUGCUUGCGGCGGAGGGCAGGAAGGGGAGCAGGGCCGGGAAAGGGGGCUGGCGGGCGCUAUAUCUGGGAGUAAGUUUCCAGGAUCGGGAGAGCCUGCACGCUUGCUCGCUACUCUGCUCGCCCCUCAUCUCACCCCCCAGGCGAAGACUGGUCUUCUUGUCGGAUUGCCUAUGCACUUGUUGCAGAAACAGCCAAGGCCCUGGCUCUGGAGGAUGCUGAAAGAGGAAGACACAGAAGCAGGACGACCCUGAGAGAUUAAGCCUCUUAAUCGUGAAACAGGUAGCUUCUCUGACAUUCUGGGUGUUUGAAUGCUCAUUUCUUUGAUCCUUGUGGUGUGGAAAAUGCCCCACAGAUUGGAGGUCAGCUGCACUGGGCCUGGACACCCACAGGCGUGUGUGCAUUCCAGGCAGAUUCUUUACCUUCUGCGCCACUAGGGAAGCCCCCUCAGGGGUGGAUAUCCAGGCGCAAAUGGAAAAUACCCGAUCGACCAAGAGAUGCGCUCUUAAUAUAUUCUCACUUGGAAUAUAUUAAAAGGGAUGUUUCUACUUUAGAACCCAAAUAGGGCUUUUCGUUGAUUUGAGUGAGUGAAACUUUGCAUUAUUAGGUCAGCUACAUGGAAC
rnacentral:lncRNA from 1 species